UACGUAGGGUCCGAGCGUUGUCCGGAAUUACUGGGCGUAAAGAGCUCGUAGGUGGUUUGUCGCGUUGUUCGUGAAAACUCACAGCUUAACUGUGGGCGUGCGGGCGAUACGGGCAGACUGGAGUACUGCAGGGGAGACUGGAAUUCCUGGUGUAGCGGUGAAAUGCGCAGAUAUCAGGAAGAACACCCGUGGCGAAGGCGGCUCUCUGGGACGGUACUGACGCUGAGACGCGAAAGCGUGGGGAGCGAACAGG
rnacentral:rRNA from 1 species